UACGUAGGGGGCAAGCGUUGUCCGGAUUUAUUGGGCGUAAAGAGCGUGUAGGCGGUCAUGUAGGUCCGUUGUGAAAACUCGAGGCUCAACCUCGAGACGCCGAUGGAAACCAUGUGACUAGAGUCCGGAAGAGGAGAGUGGAAUUCCUGGUGUAGCGGUGAAAUGCGCAGAUAUCGGGAAGAACACCCGUGGCGAAGGCGGCACUCUGGGACGGUACUGACGCUGAGACGCGAAAGCGUGGGGAGCGAACAGG
rnacentral:rRNA from 1 species